GCGGUGGAGCAUGUUGGUUAAUUCGAAGCAACGCGAAGAACUUACCAGGUCUUGACAUCCCGAUGCUAUUUCUAGAGAUAGAAAGUUACUUCGGUACAUCGGUGACAGGUGGUGCAUGGUUGUCGUCAGCUCGUGUCGUGAGAUGUUGGGUUAAGUCCCGCAACGAGCGCAACCCCUAUUGUUAGUUGCCAUCAUUCAGUUGGGCACUCUAGCGAGACUGCCGGUAAUAAACCGGAGGAAGGUGGGGAUGACGUCAAAUCAUCAUGCCCCUUAUGACCUGGGCUACACACGUGCUACAAUGGUUGGUACAACGAGUUGCGAGUCGGUGACGGCGAGCUAAUCUCUUAAAGCCAAUCUCAGUUCGGAUUGUAGGCUGCAACUCGCCUACAUGAAGUCGGAAUCGCUAGUAAUCGCGGAUCAGCACGCCGCGGUGAAUACGUUCCCGGGCCUU
rnacentral:rRNA from 1 species